GCUCUCUUAGCUCAGCUGGUUAGAGCGUGGGUCUAAUAAGCCCAAGGUCGCAGGUUCGAUCCCUGCAGGGAGCA
rnacentral:tRNA from 1 species